rnacentral:tRNA from 1 species
GCGAAAUUAGCUCAAUUGGCUAGAGCGCGUCCUUGCCAAGGACGAGGUUGCGGGUUCGAGUCCCGUAUUUCGCU